rnacentral:rRNA from 1 species
UACGAAGGGGCUAGCGUUGUUCGGAAUUACUGGGCGUAAAGGGCGCGUAGGCGGUGUGUCAAGUCAGGCGUGAAAGCCCCGGGCUCAACCUGGGAACCGCGCUUGAGACUGGCACGCUAGAGUUCGGGAGAGGAUGGUGGAAUUCCCAGUGUAGAAGGUGAAAAUUCGUAGAUAUUGGGAAAAACACCGAUGGCGAAAGGCAGCCAUCUGGACCGACACUGACGCUGAGGCGCGAAAGCGUGGGGAGCAAACAGG